UCUAAUCCUCCUAUCUUAAUGGUGUUGUUGUAGACUGUUAUCUUCAACGUUUUUGGGUACAAGAAUCUGUAUAUAUAUGCAACAAUAAUUUCAACACAAGUUCAAGUUUAAGGCAAGAACACUUAUGAAGUUCUUUAACACCUUCAACACAAGAUUACGAAUAAUCUAUCCAAGAAGUAUGUUAAUUUUCAGAAAUGAGAUGAAAUAGAAUUUUUUUUUUUAAGGCCAAGUACCCCAACUUCACGGAGUAUCCUUAAAGAAUAAUUCCCCUCACUGUACCUGAGGUUAUGGAAUCUUCCUCCCAGGAUAAAAUG
rnacentral:lncRNA from 1 species